rnacentral:rRNA from 1 species
AUGGCAAGUGUUGUUUUUAGUGACAAUUUUACUUACUUUUUCCAUGGCAAUUUUUUCUUCUUGACAUGGCAAAUUUACCUAUGUUACCACGGCAAUAUAGUACCUUUAAAUGACAAAAAAAUAUGGAAAAAAUUUCUUUUAAUUUGCCAUGGCAAUUUUUACUAUAUUGACAUGGCAAAUUUAAUUAUAAUGCCAUGUCAAUUACUUUUUAACCUCCUUUUUUCUGUGAGAUUUUUACUUUUUUUCCGUGGCAAAUUUUACCUUUUUCACAUGGCAAAAUUACCUACAUUGCCACUGCAAUCUUUAGCUUUUGCAUACAUGUCAAUAUAA